UGUCUGCUAAAUGCACAUCUGGCUGGAAUUUUUAGUUCCACCCUUAGAAAGGAUUGAGAAAAGGAGAAGCUUCUUGGACAAAUGGGAUCAUGCAAAUGUGUGGAAGAAAAGUCUCAACAAGGUGGAGGAUGAAAUUCUGGGACACUAUCAUCCAUGUAGAUAUGAAUUCAUCCAGCAACAAAUCCAUAUUUACAGGAAAUGAACUAUCUGCACUGUGCCAGCCAUGCAAGUCUGACUCUGACAUGAGAGAAUGAGACCAGCAUGUGGCUUUGAAGUAUCUUGGCAAUCCUCACAAAUAUUUUUUUCCUUCCA
rnacentral:lncRNA from 1 species